rnacentral:rRNA from 1 species
GACGAACGCUGGCGGCGUGCUUAACACAUGCAAGUCGAACGGAAAGGCCCUGCUUUUGUGGGGUGCUCGAGUGGCGAACGGGUGAGUAACACGUGAGUAACCUGCCCUUGACUUUGGGAUAACUUCAGGAAACUGGGGCUAAUACCGGAUAGGAGCUCCUGCUGCAUGGUGGGGGUUGGAAAGUUUCGGCGGUUGGGGAUGGACUCGCGGCUUAUCAGCUUGUUGGUGGGGUAGUGGCUUACCAAGGCUUUGACGGGUAGCCGGCCUGAGAGGGUGACCGGCCACAUUGGGACUGAGAUACGGCCCAGACUCCUACGGGAGGCAGCAGUGGGGAAUAUUGCACAAUGGGCGGAAGCCUGAUGCAGCAACGCCGCGUGCGGGAUGACGGCCUUCGGGUUGUAAACCGCUUGCGCCUGUGACGAAGCGGGAGUGACGGUAAUGGGUAAAGAAGCACCGGCUAACUACGUG